AGUUAAUGAACUUGAUAUAAGUAUAUGUUUUGAAAGCAUAAUAAAGAGGAUAAAUUCUUCUAUUAACUU
rnacentral:tRNA from 2 species